AUGCCCGGACCGGUGCCCCAUG
rnacentral:miRNA from 1 species